GUGGGGAAUUUUGGACAAUGGGCGCAAGCCUGAUCCAGCAAUGCCGCGUGCAGGAAGAAGGCCUUCGGGUUGUAAACUGCUUUUGUACGGAACGAAAAGGCUCUGGUUAAUACCUGGGGCACAUGACGGUACCGUAAGAAUAAGCACCGGCUAACUACGUGCCAGCAGCCGCGGUAAUACGUAGGGUGCAAGCGUUAAUCGGAAUUACUGGGCGUAAAGCGUGCGCAGGCGGUUUUGUAAGACAGGCGUGAAAUCCCCGGGCUCAACCUGGGAAUUGCGCUUGUGACUGCAAGGCUGGAGUGCGGCAGAGGGGGAUGGAAUUCCGCGUGUAGCAGUGAAAUGCGUAGAUAUGCGGAGGAACACCGAUGGCGAAGGCAAUCCCCUGGGCCUGCACUGACGCUCAUGCACGAAAGCGUGGGGAGCAAACAGGA
rnacentral:rRNA from 1 species